AUUGAACGCUGGCGGCCGGCUUAACACAUGCAAGUCGAACGAGUGGCGGACGGGUGUGUAAUGCUUGGGAAUCUAGCUUAUGGCGGGGGAUAACUACGGGAAACUGUAGCUAAUACCGCGUACCAUAGGAUGAGCCCAAGUGGGAUUAGCUUGUGGGUGAGGUAACGGCUCACCUAGGCGACGAUCCCGAGCUGGUCUGAGAGGAUGAUGAGCCACACUGGGACUGUGACACGGCCCAGACUCCUAGGGGAGGCAGCAGGGGGGAAUAUUGCACAAUGGGCGCAAGCCUGAUGCAGCCAGGCCGCGUGUAUGAAGAGGGUCUUCGGGUUGUAAAGUACUUUCAGUCGGGAGGCGUUACCGACAGAAGAAGCACCGGCUAACUCCGUGCCAGCAGCCGCGGUAAUAC
rnacentral:rRNA from 1 species